ACCCCGAGACACAAAUUAAUAUUAAGAAAACAGAGAUCGCGGGUUUUAUUUCUCUUUUUUUUUCUUUUCUUUUUUUUUACUAUAUUUUCUUCUUCUUCGAGUGAGCUGUGAAAGCGAUUUAAAAGAGAAAAGAAGGAGUGCAAGAUGAUGAUAAUUCUGCUUCUUCAUUUUAUGAACUACAUUCGCAGAAAAGUGUUAGAGCGCCUUUGGAUGAGGAAGAAGAAGGGGAUGUUAACGAAAUAUCGAUAAGAGAAAGAGAGAGAAGUUAGAUAAUGAGUGAAAAUGAUUUGAGAAAAGUUAUUCUAGUGUGUGAUUCUUCGUUUUUAUUUACCGUAUUGUUGUUUACCUCUGUUAGUGUUGUAAUGAUGUGAUAUGAUAAUUUUUAUUUUAUUUUUACAUAUAUCACAUAUUUAUAAAGAUAUAUUGAAGAGAGGCAUCGAAUGAGAGUCCGUUUUAAUAUCUACCGACGGUUGGAUUCUUCGACCCAUAUUAUAAAAGACGGUAGAAGAUGGGAGAAUUUUCUUCAGUUCUGCUGGAGAGUCUUCAAGGAGUCUGGUCCUUCAGAGGAAGUGAAGAAUUAUGAGUUAUCAUUAUGAUAUCUAACAGGUGGAUGUAUUCAAUACUAUAUCUUUAUUUUUUGUUUUCUUAAUGCAGUGAUUUGUUAUACAUAUUGAAUGUUUCUUAUGGUUUUGCAAGUUAUAAGUUAUAAAUUGUUGAAUGUUUAGCACAAGUUUUUCUUUUAUAUAGCACAAAUUGCUCAAAUCCAUUGAUUUAUACUUCAUUUUCUUUAAAUGUAUCUCAAGUACACGACUUCAUGCCACAUUCAGUCAAGAUAAGACUUUUUUUGUACAAAUAUGAAUCUCAUAUCAGUAGAUGUAAAGAGCAGAAGAAAUGUAGAGACUUGUGUUCCCGAUGUUAGAAGUACAUUUGUUAGGUUAAAAAAGCCCAGUAACAAUGCUAGCAAGAAAAUGAUAGAAAUAUUGCCAAAAUAUCCUUAUCAACCAUUCAUGAAGGAUUAUGCAGUAUAGCCUCUUUAACCUCGACUCACUAGGCUUAGCACUGUGCUAAAUUGCGUCCAUGACAUGACGUUUGGUGGAGUCAUGUCUCACAGAAAAUAAUGUAGUGAUAGAACACUUUUUAUCUUACAGAAAAAACAACAACUGUGAAUGAGAAUGAAUAAUUGACAUUUUAGUUACAUCUUCAGAAUCAUUUAUUUUUUUGGAGAGGACAUAACUAUUGAAAAAUCAGUUAUUCAGUUUGCAAUGGGAAUUAUUUUCCUCCGAUUUAGAAUUCUUUCAAGACUUGUCACAAUUAACGAUUUUUUAUUCUUGCUAUUUUGUUCUCACUUUUUAAGUCUUAUGAUGAACAAAUUCUCUAUCUAAUCUCAAGUGACAUAUUCAUUGUCUGUAGCCUUUUCCAUAGAACUAUUUCAAAAGGGAGAAAGCAUUUCCUUAGGUCUUUUUUCAUCCUAUUUCCCCAAUUACAUCUGUUAAAAGCUGUUAGAUAUGGUUAACACAACCAUCAAAAAAUGUUAAAUGUGCAUAAAUAUGGCUGUUAAGUAUGCUUAAACAAAACUGUUAAAAUCAGUUAAAUUUCCUAUUAAAAGCUGUUAAAUAUUGGUGUAAGAUUGUUAAAAGUUCAAGGAAGGAAAGGUACAAAAAAUAAAUAAAUAAAAAAUGAGUAAGUAUUCCA
rnacentral:lncRNA from 1 species